UACAGAGGUGGCAAGCGUUGUUCGGAAUUACUGGGCGUAAAGCGCGCGUAGGCGGCUUUGCAAGUCGGGUGUGAAAUCCCCAGGCUUAACCUGGGAACUGCAUUCGAGACUGCAUUGCUAGAGUAUGGGAGAGGGAAGUGGAAUUUCCGGUGUAGCGGUGAAAUGCGUAGAUAUCGGAAGGAACAUCAGUGGCGAAAGCGACUUCCUGGACCAAUACUGACGCUCAUGUGCGAAAGCGUGGGGAGCAAACAGGAUUAGAU
rnacentral:rRNA from 1 species